rnacentral:lncRNA from 1 species
GUUGAACUCAUUUAUGCCCUGUGCUUCAGCUGCUUGUUCCAAUAACUUAUUCCAUAUGUUUAUUUCCUUUAGUGUGAAAAGAUUUGGCUCAAGCUUUCUUUUUUAUUUAUAGUUUCCUGAGUUUUCAGUCCUGUCUCUGCUCGCCUGCUCCCUUUCCCGUACGCACACACCCGGGAGUGUGAAGGAGCAAGUGCCGACAGCUACAACCGCGAUUCACAGGUUCUUGAAAGGGUUGCUGUUGUUUCCGGACAGUCAUCCCGGGCUGCUGUCCCCAGGCCAUCGAGGCCGACUGCUUAGCCUGCAGCCUGGGCCUGCACUCCUGAGACACUCCGCUGCUAUCCGACUGGGUCCAUGCCCUCUCGCUCCUCAGAUUUGUGGGAACUGGGCAGGGCAGCUGGACAGAGGAGCAAGAAGCAGAGAUGAGAUGUGACAGCAGGAAGGUAGGAAAGAAUCAGCUCUUUUCUGAAUAUUCCGUUUCUUCUCCUUUAGCUCCCUCCUUGGAGCUGACAAACGUGUCCAUAUCCCCUUAAACCUAAAAUCAUCUACAUCCCUGUACUGUCCUAUCUCAAGAUGCUAGUCUGUCUCCUUUCUAUGUUGGGAAAUUUCUUGAGCAAGGAAGCCACCUUCUCUUUUCCUCUUUGGGUGAUUUAAUGUACUUAAUUAACAUGGCUUUGACCAACAGUGACAUCUCCAGUCAUGACUUCUCCCUGUCAUCUGCUCCUGAGGUUCCAAGGGCGUUUCCAAUGUGAAAUG